GACGAACGCUGGCGGCGCGCUUAAUACAUGCAAGUCGAGCGAGAACCAGGGCUUCGGCUCUGGGGACAGCGGCGAACGGGUGAGUAACACGUGGGUAAUCAACCCCCGACACCGGGAUAGCCCAGGGAAACUUGGAUUAAUACCGGAUGCCCCGUCUGGCCUUCGGGCCGGCCGGAAAAGGGUAGCUUCGGCCUCUGGUCGGGGACGAGCCCGCGGGGGAUUAGCUUGUUGGUGAGGUAAAGGCUCACCAAGGCGACGAUCCGUAGCUGGUCUGAGAGGACGAUCAGCCACACUGGGACUGAGACACGGCCCAGACUCCUACGGGAGGCAGCAGUAGGGAAUCUUGCGCAAUGGGCGAAAGCCUGACGCAGCGACGCCGCGUGAGGGAAGAAGGCCUUCGGGUUGUAAACCUCUUUCAGGAGGGACGAAGCCGCUCGGGUUAAUAGCCUAGAGGGUGACGGUACCUCCAGAAGAAGCCCCGGCUAACUACGUGCCAGCCGCCGCGGUAA
rnacentral:rRNA from 1 species